rnacentral:lncRNA from 1 species
CCAGUUAAAAGGGUGAAAUUAUUUUAACAGAAAACCAGUUACUAAUGUCCAAAUCAUAAUGUUUUAAAAUAUUUUGCUCUCUGUUUCAUUUCAGAAGAGAUUAUGGAACAAGUGGAAGAAAGAACAUUUUAACAGUGAGCUACAUCACCCCUGUGUCAUUGGAGAACAUUGCUUCCUCCAGCCACCCAGACCUCCUGUCUAACCUCCACUCUGGCAACAUCAAGUUCUGCCUCCAGCAAUCUUCUGCACCAUGGUGCCCUCUGCCGGGCGACAUAGACUCGGAUUGGUGCAG